rnacentral:lncRNA from 1 species
GUGGUCACUCUCUUGGGCUUGAAAUGGAACAGAUCUUCUUGUUCCAUCUCUUUCUGAUAGCGCCAGUUCCUGCUGAGGACAGAACAUUGUCUUCUUUUCUCCCUGCCUCAGGCAGAUGGCAGGGAGUGUUGUGUGUUCCCACAAAGGAGCGCGCUGUCCCCGCUCCCGAGUCUCUCAGCGAGCCCUGUCAUGGAAGGCAUCCAGGAGAAUGUGGAACUCCGCACCCGCUUUCUCAGAACAGAGGAGCAUCCAUGACCCUCAGAAUCACAGCAUUGAGAGGUCUCUGCAUUUGUCCGCGUUCCUCACUGUCAUGUGGUUCCUCCCGAUGUGAUAGCAAAGAUGCCCGUGGACAAACCAGGCUUGGGUGCAUCAUAUUGGCAAUCUGGAGGAAGCCGAGCACUUUUUCUCCAACUGAUUCAGUCCCAGGAUUGGCUCUCAUUUGCCCAGCUUGUGCAGAAUCUCAUUUUCCUAAUGUUAAAUACAUGUCAUCAGUGCUCAAUGUUACAGCUUCAAACAUAGAAGAUAUAAGAAGUAAAUGCUGAGAUUUCGCUAUUUGUUAACCUAUCAUGUGAUGAACCUAUACAAAUUGUGUAAAGCAAAUGUUUUCAGGCAUUGGAUGUCAAGCAGC